AUGAUGAGCAAAACCUGUGGACACAUCUUCUACAGUAAUGUUAAAAAAAAUCUAGGAGCUCUGCUUUUUUGCAUGCAGUCUCAGUACAUGCUUAAAAACAAACUUUUCAUGAUCAGGAAAGAAAACUAUCUAUCAGUUUGGAAUACUUUUACAAUCCACGUUUUGGAAUACAGGUCCCAUAGACAACUCCAAAACAUCUGGAGGGGCAACAUUUCCAGAAGGGGGAAAAUACAGAAGAUGGACUGGGUGAAGCUGCGUUCCUAUUCCCGGAAGAGGCCGGCCCAAAAGAAUAUACACUGGGGUUCUCCCUUGCCAGGGGUGGCAACAUCUGCUGCUGGAACCAGAAGGAACGCUCCAGCCAAAGGCACUCGCUUGGGCCUAGUUCUAUGCCCUAAACCUAAACUGGAAUCUCAUGGCAAAAGACACAAUAGAAAUGCCAUUGCAAAAGCAUUGCCAAAUAUUCAUGAAAAUUCUGAGGUAACCCAGACGAAUUGUCAUUCAUCUGACCAAAGGAGUAUGGAUGUGAAUAAAGAUUUCGGUGAAAUGGACAAGACUGUGGCAAAGGAUUCUUCACAUCUAAAUACUCCAAGUAAAAAGAACUCGAGAGAUAGUGAAACCACUUCAGGAACGACUUUACCCACAGGUGUUUCAGAUUUCUUGCUGGACUGUUUGGAUGUGGAUUCUCUGGUGUGCUCCAGUACAGGAUCUAGUGAUUGUACAAGUAGCUACUCAUCACCUGAAAUAUUCAGAGAUGAAAAAGAAAGCAGUGCUAUUCCUGAAAGACCAUGUCUUCAAUGCAAAAAUUCAACUCUCUUGGAAACAAGCAAAGCUGUCAGCAUAGACAAGAUGCCAUACCUGCCAAAUCUGUCAAAGAUAACAGGAAGUCAAGACCAGAGUCUUAUAAGGAGUAGAUCAUCUGAACAGAAACUGCAUUCUGGGCUGAGAACUGGUUCAGCUGUAAUAGCAGGAAAACAAAUACACAAAAUUGUAUCUACAAAGGAAUUAAGAUCUGAAUCACAAUCUUCUGGAUCUUUGUUGUUGCCACCUCAAAAGCACAAAAUACAGAUAUUAUUACAAGCUCAUAAAAACUGGGUUUACAACAACAAUAUAUGAAUCGUUCUAUUGCUCUGUCAAGGACCAAUGACAGAUUUUUUUUGAAAAGAGAGGAGAAAAUGUCUUAUCCCAUGGAACUCUAUACAGCUAUAUUGUACAAAUAGUUAAAAAUGUAAUUGCAAAUAGUGAUAUAGUCCCAUCUGAAUGAUGUUCUUAGUUCACUUUUGCCAUGUAGAUUUCAAUAUUUAUUUUGAGCUCUCUAAAGACUUUGUAUAUAUUACUCAUGGCUUAAUAUUAUAAAUAAUUAAUAAUUACUUAUUAAUGUUACAAAGAUCUGUAAAAUAAUUGCCUGGGAAUGCCACUGUCUUCUAGAAACUUUAUUCUGGCAUUUUCAGUACUGCUGUUCCUUCAGUGGUACAGUAUGAAAAAAGAGAAAGUGAUGGGGAAUGGAAAUUGAAAAAUAUGAAAGAUGAGGUUAUACUGAAUAUUUGAAUUUUGUUAAGUUUGAAAUGUUUUUUAAAACUAUUGUGAAAAAAAUAUUCAAGAUUUUUUGCAUUAUGAUUACUACAAAAUAUUAAACAAUUAUGAGUUAUCAGGAGGAGUGUGUAUGCC
rnacentral:lncRNA from 11 species